AGAGUUUGAUCAUGGCUCAGAAUCAACGCUGGCGGCGCGCUUAACACAUGCAAGUCGAACGAGAAAGCGGGAGCAAUCUCGCAAGUACAGUGGCGUACGGGUGAGUAACACGUGGGUAAUCUACCCUUUAGUGUGGAAUAACGCUGGGAAACCGGCGCUAAUACCGCAUAAUCCCGAGAGGGGAAAGCAGCAAUGCGCUGAAGGAGGAGCCCGCGGCCGAUUAGCCAGUUGGCAGGGUAAAAGCCUACCAAAGCAGAGAUCGGUAGCCGGCCUGAGAGGGCACACGGCCACACUGGCACUGAAACACGGGCCAGACUCCUACGGGAGGCAGCAGUGGGGAAUCUUGCACAAUGGGGGCAACCCUGAUGCAGCGACGCCGCGUGAGCGAUGAAGCCUUCGGGGUGUAAAGCUCUUUCGGCAGGGACGAUGAUGACGGUACCUGCAGAAGCAGCUGCGGCUAACUACGUGCCAGCAGCCGCGGUAAUACGUAGGCAGCGAGCGUUGUUCGGAGUUACUGGGCGUAAAGGGUGUGUAGGCGGUUCUCUAAGUUUGGUGUGAAAUCUCCCGGCUCAACCGGGAGGGUGCGCCGAAAACUGGAGGGCUAGAGUGCGGGAUGGGAGAGUAGAAUUCCUGGUGUAGCGGUGAAAUGCGUAGAUAUCAGGAGGAAUACCGGUGGUGUAGACGGCUCUCUGGACCGCGACUGACGCUGAGACACGAAAGCGUGGGUAGCAAACAGGAUUAGAUACCCUAGUAGUCC
rnacentral:rRNA from 1 species